GAUGUCUACUAGUUGUCGGGUCUUAAUUGACUUGGUAACGCAGCUAACGCGUGAAGUAGACCGCCUGGGGAGUACGGUCGCAAGAUUAAAACUCAAAGGAAUUGACGGGGACCCGCACAAGCGGUGGAUGAUGUGGAUUAAUUCGAUGCAACGCGAAAAACCUUACCUACCCUUGACAUGUACAGAAUCCCGAAGAGAUUUGGGAGUGUUCGAAAGAAAACUGUAACACAGGUGCUGCAUGGCUGUCGUCAGCUCGUGUCGUGAGAUGUUGGGUUAAGUCCCGCAACGAGCGCAACCCUUGUCAUUAGUUGCUACGAAAGGGCACUCUAAUGAGACUGCCGGUGACAAACCGGAGGAAGGUGGGGAUGACGUCAAGUCCUCAUGGCCCUUAUGGGUAGGGCUUCACACGUCAUACAAUGGUACAUACAGAGGGCCGCCAACCCGCGAGGGGGAGCUAAUCCCAGAAAGUGUAUCGUAGUCCGGAUUGUAGUCUGCAACUCGACUACAUGAAGUUGGAAUCGCUAGUAAUCGCGGAUCAGCAUGUCGCGGUGAAUACGUUCCCGGGUCU
rnacentral:rRNA from 1 species